rnacentral:lncRNA from 1 species
AAUAAUAGUGAGCGGGUCAAAGGUUUAUACAAUAGUCGUUUUACGUUUCUACUAUGUUACGUCCUUGUAUGUUUUUUUGUUAAUUUUAAAAUCACUUAAGAUUCAUUUAGUUUUAACUUUCAAGUUUAAACCAUACGUUGCAGUGAAAUUACCUACUUCUGUCUCUCUUUAAUUAGUAUCAUAGUAUGAUAGUGAUACAGCGAUCGUAUAGAAAUUAGAAACAAAUCCUUAUAUGCGGCGUCAAAAUUGUUUGGUCCUUCACGUCCGGUCCACAAAUUUAUGAUAGACAUAUGCAUAAAUAUUGCAUGCAAAAGAAAUAUAUAGAAAACUGAUACACAGUUCGUCGCCUCACCACUGAUCGCGGAAGCACUGGCUCUACUGACAGCACUUGGAGCGGCAAAAGACCUUGGCUUCACGGACCUUGCUGUC